rnacentral:rRNA from 1 species
UCAAAAUAUGGCUUUCAAAUUAAGUUCCGAAUUAGUAGAUGCUGCCAAAGGGAGUGGGGGUGCCAUACGCAAAAAGGAAGCGAGAAUGUCGGCUUGAGUAACGAAAACAUUGGUGAGAAUCCAAUUCCCCGAAAACCCAAGGUUUCCUCCGCAAGGUUCGUCCACGGAGGGUGAUUCAUACAAGCUAAAUCUUCUAAUCAAUGGUGGGCCAAUAAUGAAUUUUUUUGCAUAUGUAUUAAGACGCUUGGCCUGAUUUCGAAAUUGUCCAGAGUUUUAUAUGUUGUUUUCAUUGCAAAAUGAUGGGUCUCGUUCCAUAACUUUCCAAUUACGAGUACGAGAAUUGAA